AAAUUGAAGAGUUUGAUCAUGGCUCAGAUUGAACGCUGGCGGCAGGCCUAACACAUGCAAGUCGAACGGUAGCACAGAGAGCUUGCUCUCGGGUGACGAGUGGCGGACGGGUGAGUAAUGUCUGGGAAACUGCCUGAUGGAGGGGGAUAACUACUGGAAACGGUGGCUAAUACCGCAUAACGUCGCAAGACCAAAGAGGGGGACCUUCGGGCCUCUUGCCAUCAGAUGUGCCCAGAUGGGAUUAGCUUGUUGGUGAGGUAACGGCUCACCAAGGCGACGAUCCCUAGCUGGUCUGAGAGGAUGACCAGCCACACUGGAACUGAGACACGGUCCAGACUCCUACGGGAGGCAGCAGUGGGGAAUAUUGCACAAUGGGCGCAAGCCUGAUGCAGCCAUGCCGCGUGUAUGAAGAAGGCCUUCGGGUUGUAAAGUACUUUCAGCGGGGAGGAAGGUGUUGUGGUUAAUAACCGCAGCAAUUGACGUUACCCGCAGAAGAAGCACCGGCUAACUCCGUGCCAGCAGCCGCGGUAAUACGGAGGGUGCAAGCGUUAAUCGGAAUUACUGGGCGUAAAGCGCACGCAGGCGGUCUGUCAAGUCGGAUGUGAAAUCCCCGGGCUCAACCUGGGAACUGCAUUCGAAACUGGCAGGCUUGAGUCUUGUAGAGGGGGGUAGAAUUCCAGGUGUAGCGGUGAAAUGCGUAGAGAUCUGGAGGAAUACCGGUGGCGAAGGCGGCCCCCUGGACAAAGACUGACGCUCAGGUGCGAAAGCGUGGGGAGCAAACAGGAUUAGAUACCCUGGUAGUCCACGCCGUAAACGAUGUCUACUUGGAGGUUGUGCCCUUGAGGCGUGGCUUCCGGAGCUAACGCGUUAAGUAGACCGCCUGGGGAGUACGGCCGCAAGGUUAAAACUCAAAUGAAUUGACGGGGGCCCGCACAAGCGGUGGAGCAUGUGGUUUAAUUCGAUGCAACGCGAAGAACCUUACCUGGUCUUGACAUCCACAGAACUUUCCAGAGAUGGAUUGGUGCCUUCGGGAACUGUGAGACAGGUGCUGCAUGGCUGUCGUCAGCUCGUGUUGUGAAAUGUUGGGUUAAGUCCCGCAACGAGCGCAACCCUUAUCCUUUGUUGCCAGCGGUCCGGCCGGGAACUCAAAGGAGACUGCCAGUGAUAAACUGGAGGAAGGUGGGGAUGACGUCAAGUCAUCAUGGCCCUUACGACCAGGGCUACACACGUGCUACAAUGGCGCAUACAAAGAGAAGCGACCUCGCGAGAGCAAGCGGACCUCAUAAAGUGCGUCGUAGUCCGGAUUGGAGUCUGCAACUCGACUCCAUGAAGUCGGAAUCGCUAGUAAUCGUGGAUCAGAAUGCCACGGUGAAUACGUUCCCGGGCCUUGUACACACCGCCCGUCACACCAUGGGAGUGGGUUGCAAAAGAAGUAGGUAGCUUAACCUUCGGGAGGGCGCUUACCACUUUGUGAUUCAUGACUGGGGUGAAGUCGUAACAAGGUAACCGUAGGGGAACCUGC
rnacentral:rRNA from 1 species